GAUGAACGCUGGCGGCGUGCCUAAUACAUGCAAGUCGAGCGAACAGAUGAUGAGCUUGCUCCUCUGACGUUAGCGGCUGACGGGUGAGUAACACGUGGAUAACCUACUUAUAAUACGGGGAUAACUUCGGGAAACCGGAUCUAAUACCGCAGAAUAUAUUGAACCGCAUGGUUCAAUAGUGAAUGACGGUUUUGCUGUCACUUAUAGAUGGAUCCGCGCCGCAUUAGCUAGUUGGUAAGGUAACGGCUUACCAAGGCAACGAUGCGUAGCCGACCUGAGAGGGUGAUCAGCCACACUGGAACUGAGACACGGUCCAGACUCCUACGGGAGGCAGCAGUAGGGAAUAUUCGGCAAUGGGCGAAAGCCUGACGGAGCAACGCCGCGUGAGUGAUGAAGGUCUUCGGGUCGUAAAACUCUGUUAUUAGGGAAGAAAAACUGUGUAAGUAAAUCUGCCCGUCUUGACGGUACCUAAUCAGAAAGCAACGGCUAACUACGUG
rnacentral:rRNA from 1 species